GUGCAUGCUACGGUUGCACAUAUACUAAAAUUGGAUCAAUACAGAAAAGAUUAGUCUGCGAAAGGAUGACACGCAAAUCCGUGAAGCGCUCCAUAUUUUU
ensembl:snRNA U6 U6 spliceosomal RNA